rnacentral:lncRNA from 1 species
AUAGUAAGUUAGAGGACUUAAAGAGUGAAGUGGGAAGUUGGCAAAAGAAAAAACUCUAGAAAUUUCUUUGGACUUCACUCAACCACUAGAUGGGUAGAAUUGAUAACCCGAUAAAAUAUCCCUUUGAUGAUCUAGCCAGGUAUCAAUUGACUUAGAAUUGCCACGAUAACUCUCAUUUCUAGGAUAAUUUGGUCGUAUUAUUGAUUUAUCUAUUUUACUCGAGGAUGAGUAAAAGUUCAAAUUGGAGGGUGUGAUCAAUACAUUAAUUAUGCCACGAGAAGUAUUAUACCUGUGCUAUUUAAUCUCUAU